GUUCUUGUCUGAUCACUGAAGUUAAGCAAUGCUGAGCCUGGUCAGUACUCAGAUGGGUGACUGCUGGGGAAUACCAAGUGCUGUAAA